GAUGAAGAACGUAGCGAAAUGCGAUAAGUAAUGUGAAUUGCAGAAUUCAGUGAAUCAUCGAAUCUUUGAACGCAUCUUGCGCUCCUUGGUAUUCUGAGGAGCAUGCCUGUUUGAGUGUCAUUAAAUUCUCAACUACACUGACUUUGAAUUGGUGUGGCUUGGAUUUGGGGGGAAAAUUGUUGUGGGCUUUUUGUAUAGUCUGCUCCCCUGAAAAUGAUUAGCGGUACCUUUGUGGAACUGUCUACAGGUGUGAUAAUUAUCUACAUCUUAGACAUCUGCUGGAAUGCUGCUUUCUAAACCUUACUUGUAUUGACAAUCUUGACCUCAAAUCAGGUAGGACUACCCGCUGAACUUAAGCAUAUCAAUAAGCGGAGGA
rnacentral:misc_RNA from 1 species